AGGACGAACGCUGGCGGCGUGCUUAACACAUGCAAGUCGAACGGUGAUCUUGAGAGCUUGCUCUUGGGUGAUCAGUGGCGAACGGGUGAGUAACACGUGAGUAACCUGCCCCAGACUCUGGAAUAACCUCGGGAAACCGUGGCUAAUACCGGAUAUGAAACGGAUCCGCAUGGGUGCCGUUUGGAAAGUUUUUCGGUCUGGGAUGGACUCGCGGCCUAUCAGCUUGUUGGUGAGGUAAUGGCUCACCAAGGCGACGACGGGUAGCCGGCCUGAGAGGGCGACCGGCCACACUGGGACUGAGACACGGCCCAGACUCCUACGGGAGGCAGCAGUGGGGGAAUAUUGCACAAUGGGCGAAAGCCUGAUGCAGCGACGCCGCGUGAGGGAUGACGGCCUUCGGGUUGUAAACCGUCUUUCUAGCAGGGAAGAAGCGAAAGUGACGGUACCUGCAGAAGAAGCACCGGCUAACUACGCGCCAGCAGCCGCGGU
rnacentral:rRNA from 1 species